AUAACAGACCAUAAGAAACAUUUUUGGUCUUCAUUUUUUAUGUUUAGGAUUGCUCUUUUCUCUAACAGUGAUUUGUGAAGUGUGAUGUAGCUGCUAUCUGUCAGUGGAGCAUACUCAGCCAUAUUUACUUCUAAAUGCAUAAUGUGUUCAAUACUCCUCCCUGAACCCUCGCCUUGGAAUUCCUGGCUAGAAGAAUACAAUUUUUUAUAUGUUUCAGCUACCUGUUCUUGUAACUGAAAUGCGUUGGUGGUCAAAACAUUUGUACUUCUAAGGAUUGGUUCGGCUAAAACACCUUUCUUUUGUGUCAGAAAAUCAUGCAGUAUUCUAUCUAUAUUGGAGUGUUCAUCCGCUAAAAACUGCAAAAUGUCAACGUCAUUGACUUGGCUGGGUGUCAGUUUCAGUGACGACCACCCCUUCGAGAGCCUCAACUCGUCCUGACCCGACCUGAUUUCUUCUGUAAACAUAGCGUUCACGUCGCCUCACACAGCUAUCUCAUUGGUUAACCCGCUGGCUGUAAAACCUUUCUGGCAGUGGACGGUGACAUUGAGAACAUUCUCUCCCCUUGGUUGAGCAAACCUCACAGAACUUCUUACCAGGAAGGAAACCAUUAAAAUGUCCGCACCAGUUACAUGUAGUCCGCUGAGCUGGGGAUACACUGUUGGAUGUUCCGGUAUUUACUGGACGAAGACAGGGUCGUUUGGCUUCACGGUUCGGAUCAGAAGAUGGUCUUUUAAGUCUGAUUUGACACUUGUGAGCCUUGUAUUUGUCAAAGCGUGAAAAUAUAUGUUUACAAUUUUCACAUUCAUACCGUUCAUUGUUGUGUACACUGCGUAUGUGUCUGAGGCGACUCUUGUUCUUCGUGAAAGACUGGUUACACAAACUUUAUUGGUUCCUAGAUAAGCUGUUUCAUCUUGAAUUAAAAUGACAUCGAAUGGGCCUGGUUAUCCUACUUCAGGCAGCCAUAUUGCGUAUACAUGUCAGGUCAGCCCAGUACUGAAUGAUCUUACGACGAUUAAUGUAGAGACUGGAGGCAAAAAAGUGAGAUCACUAUGAUGGUGAGAUUGGUGACAAAAGAGAGACAAUUACUAUGAUGUCUGCUCAUGUGGAAUAUAUGUCGUACUUGCAUCACAUAACCAGGACGUCUUGCCCAGUUCAUCAUCGUUUGUAAAUAUGACAUCCUAUUCUAAGAAUAUCACUGAACAAUGUUUGGACAGAAACAAGUUCAGGUUUAAGAAAACCACUUGUAUAAAGCAGGAGAAACUGAGUUAUUUCCUCUUGUUUUUGAUUUUCAGACUGGACAUACAGAAGAGACAGAGUUUGUAAAUAUGGAUCCUAUUCUACGAAUAUCACAUAACGAUGCUUGGAAAGACACAAGUACAGGUUUCAGAAAAGCACUUGUACAGAGCAGGAGAAACUGUAAAUAUGGCAUCUUAUUGUACGAAUAUCACUGAACAAUGCUUGGACAGACACUAGUGCAGGAAAGCACUUGUACAGAGCAGGAGAAACUGUAAAUAUGGCAUCCUAUUGUACGAAUAUCACUGAACAAUGCUUGGACAGACACUAGUGCAGGAAAGCACUUGUACAGAGCAGGAGAAACUGUAAAUAUGGCAUCCUAUUGUACGAAUAUCACUGAACAAUGCUUGGACAGACACUAGUGCAGGAAAGCACUUGUACAGAGCAGGAGAAACUGUAAAUAUGGCAUCCUAUUGUACGAAUAUCACUGAACAAUGCUUG
rnacentral:lncRNA from 1 species